CGCAGAACUGAUCUCCAUGUAACCAGGAAACAGCGGGUACGGGAGCUGCAGCAGCCAAAACACUGCUGAAGUUACUGUAUAUCCUUACCUUCGCGUAGAUAUCAGCUAAUUCUCUGAAAUACAGUCCAGUCCAGAGUGUAAAUCAGCUGACCAGCUUCUUCUUUGUUUUAAUGGCCUCUUUAGCAGUACGCUUUCAGUCAUGUUUGCCUUCAUAUUUUGAAGUAGUUUGAAUACUUUUCUUAAUUUCUGCAUGAAUGAUGGCAGACAUAUGCUACAUAGUGGGAAAAGUGAUUUUUGUAUUUUUGAUCUUGGUUGUAUUUUGCAUGUUUAUAUUGUGUUGUAGUUUUUUUUCCCUUUAAUUUAAGGGACAAUUCAAAAACGGUCUGAACUGAGGCUUGGUUGUCUAGUAAGGAGGCGGAGUGCAGUUAUUCAGCUGCUCAUAAAAGUGUCUGCAAAGACUAAUUGAGGCCAGGUAAAAGGAGUUAAAGUAGAAGGAACAGCAGGACGGACAUUGGGCGACUGAGACCGGUGCGCUCCAGGACGAGGAGUAAGUGGAACCUACACGCUGGGCUCAGAGUCUGGAGGAGGUGGACAGACGGCCUAGCACAGAUGAUCAAGGCAAAGGGAAACCUCUGCCCACGCCUUUGGUUCAGUCGAACUAGGCGGUGUGGCAAACCUGAGGAGUGGAGUGGUGCCAGAACGUCAUGGGAUCAACUGUAUGCAGGCAGGAGGAAUACACUGCAGACAGAUCACUCCAAUCUGAGACAACACAGCAAGCGGGACUCAAUCAGUGACUCCCUGUACCAAAAGUGGCCCCUCAUCUGGUGACUUUUAAAGACAAUUGUUGGACUGUGCUUUUUAUCCAACAAGAAGAAAUUGUUUUGAGUCCACUACUAAUGGUGAUUAGAAAGAAAUUAUCUUGAACUUGAUUGUUCCUUGGUUUUUGAGUUGCUUGCUCCUCCUUGUGUGUAAGACUUGGCUUGGGACCAUACAGGUCACACAUAUUUACACCAUGAAAUUAGCAUGUCACUAUAAAAUUUAUGUCUCCGUACAAGUUUUUUUUUUUUUUUUUUUUUUUUCCAGUAUUGUCGUGAAAGAUGUGAUAUGGACCAACCUGUCAGGUAUUUCUGCAGCUGGCAGUAGGACCACUGGGAGGAGGCAGAGGAGCCUGAUGUUUCCACAGAUGAUCUGUCUCAUGGUAUGCUGGUAGCACAUUUGUUUUUUUACACAAAUAUGUAAGACAUUUUUUUAGAAAGGUGCAACUUUAAAUAUGUUUGAUAUUUAACAGUACAUUAUGUAUGUGUAAAUAAUAUAUUGUCACACUUCAGAAUAAGUCUCAGAGUUCUAAAGGUUUAUGUGCUUGGGUCAAUUCCCUUUAUUUGUCCACAUAAUAAAAUUAAUUCUUAUGCA